GGAUUAGAUACCCUGGUAGUCCACGCUGUAAACGAUGAGUGCUAGGCGGCGGGAGAGUUUGACCCUUUCGUUGUCGAAGCUAACGCGUUAAGCACUCCGCCUGGGGAGUACGGCCGCAAGGCUAAAACUCAAAUGAAUUGACGGGGACCCGCACAAGCGGUGGAGCAUGUGGUUUAAUUCGAUGCAACGCGAAAAACCUUACCUACACUUGACAUACUUCGAAUUUUCUAGAGAUAGAUUAGUGCCUUCGGGAACGGAGAUACAGGUGCUGCAUGGCUGUCGUCAGCUCGUGCCG
rnacentral:rRNA from 1 species